rnacentral:lncRNA from 1 species
CGGCCGCCCGGCCGCCGCGCCGCUCAGAGCCGCCCGCCAUGGCCCGCGCGCCCACCCUGGCCCUGCUCCUGCUGGGACGGCUCCUGGCAGCCGCCACCGCACAGAGAGUGGGGCUCCCUGGGCCCCCGGGGCCCCAGGGCCACCCGGGAAGCCGGGCACGGACGGCAUUGACGUGAAAGCUGGUCCUCCAGGUCUGCCUGGGCCCCCGGGAUCGAAGGGGACCCCGGGAAACGAGGGGAAGCCCGGAGAGGCAGGCAGGGGACUGCCAGGACUUCCAGGUGUGGACGGUCUGACUGGGCGGGACGGACCUGCUGGACCCAAAGGUGCCCCUGGAGAACGGUCUGCUCCCCACUAGGUGGCCAGCGGCAGGUCCUGCCUCAGCCUCAUCCCUGGUCAGCUGUAAAUGGGGCUCCUGCCCCUGCUCCCUCCCUCGGAGGACUUGUGGGAUCAGACUGGGGGAGCGUGGAGACAGGUGAGGCUGCUGGCCCAGAGCACCCUUGACACCUGCCUUCCUCCUCAGGGGAAGCCUGGGACCCCGGGGCCGCCUGGGCUGGGGGGCAAAGGCCUCCCUGGACCCCCCCGUGAGUACAGACCGCCCUGUGCGCGCCCCCAAGCCCGCGAGCUCCCAGAUCUGCCUCCAUGCUCAGAGCUGGGGUGUCCCAAACCAUGGCAGGGAUGGGGCUUCUUGGGGCCAACCUGACCAGAACGCCUGGAGCGCCGCCCUUCAGGGGGUCAAACUGGCCAUGGGGCCACCUCCUCAGGGUCUGUAGGGCUCCUUGGGCGCGGCUCCUCACCUCUCACUCUUUUCAUCCCACAGGGAGAGGCAGGUGUGAGCGGCCUCCCCGGUGGGAUGGGCCUCCGAGGUCCUCCGGGACCCUCUGGACUUCCAGGCCUGCCUGGGCCCCCAGGACCUCCGGGACCUCCUGGACAGCCUGGGGUCCUCCCUGAAGGUGCUGCUGACCUACAGUGCCCUGCCGUCUGCCCUCCAGGCCCCCCGGGCCUCCAGGAAUGCCAGGGUUUAAGGGGCCCACCGGCCACAAAGGAGAACAGGGAGAAGUUGGCAAGGACGGGCGAGAAGGUAAAGCACCUCUGGCCAUGCCUGGGGGUGGGCUGCUGAACAGGAGGGCAGUGGGUGAUGGACCCCGG